GCAGGGAAUUGCAGUCAUAGGGGUAGAAAAAUACAAAAAUUUUCUGGGGAGAAAACCCCAGACCCUCUCCAGGGCCGUAGCAAAUUAUUGCUAAUAAUCAUUCAUUUUUCAAAAUCAUGCAGACCUUUAUUAUUUAAUCCAUGACAAACUGCAAAGAAUGAAGAUAUUACCCAUACUUUCCUGCAACUUAUCCAAUAUAUCGUUAAUUAAAUACACCUUCGUCCAUUUAGUACUACUGAAUUCUAAAUUUCCACAUACUAAAAACGCUGUUUUCUGACAAUCAGAAAUCUGUCAAAUCUUCCCCAAAGUCCAGGAAAUGGCAUUUCAGAGACUCUAAAUUUAAAAAUUUCCUCGGGCCUUCGGCCCUCGCUUUCACCCCCUCACCCCCAAACGAAAAGAGCUUCCUACGGCCUGCUCUCCCCCCCUACUAUUAAAUGCGAUACCACACCAAACUUUUUGUUACCAACAAACCAUCUAUCAUUGCUCCACACUCGGUAUAGUAUGGUCCCUUUUUGUAGAUGGCCCCCCCACUGACGAAUUCUUAAAAAAUGCCCUGGAUUACGUUAUGCUUGGUUAAGAAUUCUAUUCGAAUCAGCAAACGAAAACAUUCUGUUACGUCUCGAUUCAUUUGAGAAGCCAUAUAAACCACUCGAGCUCGUGUCUCACCGGGAUAUCCAAACACUCGAAAACAAUGUAUGAAAACACUCGCGCUCGUAACAUAAUACAUUGUUUUCUCGUGUUUGGAUAUCCCGGUGAAACACUCGCUCUCGUUGUUCAUAUAUUACCUGAAGUGCAAGUAUAGGUAUUAAAUAGCAUGGUUUCGAGUGCAAUUUGAAUAUAACAGCAACGAGUGAGUUUUUCAAAGACCUCAAAGUCGAGUCCGAAGGACGAGUGCUAUUUGACGAGUGCAUAUUUAUCCAAAUUUCACGAGAAACCAUGCUAUUACUUAUUAAUAAUUUACAUAAAAAUGUUCGAGACAAUUGUAGUUUUAACUUACGCGUUUAUAGCGAACAUUUCACUGGCAAAGUUUUCCUGGCUUUAUUAUAUCACAUUAUACAACGCUAACAGCUUGAAAAUUCCACCCAACUAUGUAUUUUUGUUAGUCUUGUUUAAUAAGGUAAAUGCUCUUCCAUUUAAAAAUAAAAAUAAAGAUAAAAGCCAUAUUUUCCACGCGAAGUCAACUUUUACUUUAUGUAGCGCGGCGCCAUGUUUGUUUUGUUUUGAAGCAAUCUGUGAC